AUGCCUGAUCCCCUUGAACCUUGGUCUCCGGCCAUGGCACCCGCGCCGACGACCCUGCAGGCCGAUGCCAUUUUGCCAUGUCCCGCCACCGCUCCCGCAUCACUGGAUCCCCAUCUCUCCCUCCUCUCGCUCUCUUCCUCGCGGCGAUCCUCAUGGUCAGGACCCCGACCUCGCGCCCGUCUCCUCGGCCGGACGGCCACCUUGCCGGUGACCAAGCGCCCCGCCACCAAGCAGUCGCGCACCCCUGCUCCCUUUCUCCUCCUCGCUGUGGGUUCUGCCCGCGCCGGAGCACGCGAGCUGCUGCAGCUCGAUCCCGCGACCAAGCCGUCGCCCUGGAACUUCUCCGCUGCCGGCGCCCUCCUCCAGCGCCUCCGCGCCUCUCUGCUACCCUGUUCCCGCGCGCACUGUGGCGUCCUCCACCUGCGUCGCGCCCGUCGACCAGCGAUGCUCCGACCGUCUUCGUCGGAGUACCACCAGGAAGCUGGGCCCCUGUGCACCAGCGCCGCGACUUCCUCCUCUGCUCGCGAGCCUUGCUUCGCUGCUGCGCCUCCCUGGCCUCGCUGCCUCCACAGGGCACGAGUAGCACGUCCACUUCGCCGUCCAGUGCCGCUGCGCCUUCGGUCUGUCACCUGGUGA
rnacentral:rRNA from 1 species